rnacentral:rRNA from 1 species
CCGCGUGCAGGAAGAAUGCCCUAUGGGGCUUGUAAACUGCUUUUAUUUAGGAAUAAACCCCUCUUACGUGUAGAGGGCUGAAUGUACUAAACGAAUAAGCACCGGCUAACUCCGUGCCAGCAGCCGCGGUAAUACGGAGGGUGCAAGCGUUAUCCGGAAUCAUUGGGUUUAAAGGGUCCGCAGGCGGAUGUAUAAGUCAGUGGUGAAAUCCUGCAGCUUAACUGCAGAACUGCCAUUGAUACUGUACAUCUUGAAUUCGGUCGAAGUGGGCGGAAUGUGUAGUGUAGCGGUGAAAUGCAUAGAUAUUACACAGAACACCGAUAGCGAAGGCAGCUCACUAGGCCUGGAUUGACGCUCAGGGACGAAAGCGUGGGGAUCAAACAGGAUUAGAUACCCUGGUAGUCCACGCUGUAAACGAUGAUUACUCGUUUUCGGCGAUAUACAGUCGGAGACUAAGCGAAAGUGAUAAGUAGUCCACCUGGGGAGUACGAUCGCAAGGUUGAAACUCAAAGGAAUUGACGGGGGCCCGCACAAGCGGUGGAGCAUGUGGUUUAAUUCGAUGAUACGCGAGGAACCUUACCAGGGCUUAAAUGCAGAGCGAAUAGUUUGGAAUCAGCACUAGCCUUCCGGCCGAUCUGCAAAGGUGCUGCAUGGCUGU